rnacentral:rRNA from 1 species
AGAGCGAACGCUGGCGGCAGGCCUAACACAUGCAAGUCGAGCGCCCGUAGCAAUACGGGAGCGGCAGACGGGAUAGUAACACGUGGGAACGCGCCCUUCGGUUCGGAAUAACUCAGGGAAACUUGAGCUAAUACCGAAUACGCCCUUACGGGGAAAGAUUUAUUGCCGAAGGAACGGCCCGCGUCCGAUUAGCUAGUUGGUGAGGUAAUGGCUCACCAAGGCUACGAUCGGUAGCUGGUCUGAGAGGAUGACCAGCAUCACUGGGACUGAGACACGGCCCAGACUCCUACGGGAGGCAGCAGUGGGGAAUAUUGGACAAUGGGCGCAAGCCUGAUCCAGCCAUGCCGCGUGGAUGAUGAAGGCCUUAGGGUUGUAAAGUCCUUUAACGGGGAAGAUAAUGACGGUACCCGUAGAAUAAGCCCGGCUAACUUCGCGCCAGCAGCCGC